AAAAUAUCACAAGUCAUAACAUAUAUAAGGAUAGGCAUAUAAAACAAUGGUUUUGAAUCGGUCCUUAAUUAAUCAGGAGGUGCUUACCAGUUCAUGUAAGAGAUUUUUGUGUAUCUCUUCCACAUUCCUCACCUGCAUGCAGCAAGAU